rnacentral:rRNA from 1 species
UUAUUUGAUUUUCUUCGGAACUGAAGAUUUGGUGAUUGAGUGGCGGACGGGUGAGUAACGCGUGGGUAACCUGCCUCAUACAGGGGGAUAACAGUUAGAAAUGACUGCUAAUACCGCAUAAGCGCACGGAACCGCAUGGUUCUGUGUGAAAAACUCCGGUGGUAUGAGAUGGACCCGCGUCUGAUUAGCUGGUUGGUAAGGUAACGGCUUACCAAGGCGACGAUCAGUAGCCGACCUGAGAGGGUGACCGGCCACAUUGGGACUGAGACACGGCCCAAACUCC